CACACCCGUUCCCAUACCGAACACGGAAGUUAAGCUCUUCAGCGCCGAUGGUAGUUGGGGGUUUCCCCCUGUGAGAGUAGGACGCCGCCAAGC
rnacentral:rRNA from 6 species